UGGAUCCCACACUUAGGGGAGGAAUUACCAAAGAAGAGCCACCCAACAUGGUGAGCAUCAUUGCUCUGCUUGCCCUCACCCCGGGAAGAAUUUCAGUUCUAGUAUUGUUUGUUUUCUGAUAAGAGACACCUAUACCACCAGCUGGGUAAGCGGGGCAGAGACAGACUGCCCAGAAGGAGCAGACAGUGCCUGCAGCACAUCCGGAUCCCAUCAAGACCUAGGCCAGACACCCAAGUGCAAUGGGGUGGAGUGAAGGGGAGGUAAGGAGCCCCACAGAAGAAGCACUGGUUGAGGCGUCCAGGGUUUGGAAGACACUGAACAGCAUCAUCCAGUGGAACCUCAAGUAACAUCAAGUCAUAAAAGAAGUGGAAAGGAAGAAUGGUCUUUACCUAUGGAUAUGCCGUGGUGUCAACAAGAGGGAAGAGUUAUGCAAGUACAAGUCAAACCUCAGGCUGCAAGCAGUCCUGGAAGCUGCAAAGCACAGUGGAGAAUUCCUAAGGUUGAAAUGAGUCACCAAAAACUGGAUCUAUCUGAUGGAAUUUUUUCCUUUAACCAGCCCUAGACAUGUCAAUAACUUGGGUUAAAAAAACCUGGAUCUGCAAGCACUGACAGCAGACAGUCACUACCACUAGGCUCUGGGUAAAGGCUCUCAAAACUGAUGAGAGGUCUGAAAGACGAGUAUCACCCAGGAAUGACACUUGGACCAGGAAAGAAAGUGCAUGGGGCAGGAAGUGGAGUCCACAGCAUCAACUACAACUUGCAGAAACAAACGUUCUCUCUUUUUCCCCAGUGAUGAUGGCUUUGAAUUACCUACUGCAUUUCUCAGACAAUUUAAUCUACCAAACCAAAAUCUAGAGUUCCAAUUGAUGAAAGUUUGGCAAAUAAAGCUGGCUGUCAAGUAAGAUUUGCAUCCAAAUACA